UAUAAGGGAUUUUGAGUUUUGGUUUGCACUGUUUGACCACUCGUCUUAUUCAGAAAGUUUUAGAAUUAUUAUUUAUUUUUUGACUUACUUUAUUAUCCAAAGUACUUUAAGCAUAAUUUUUCGUUUUUUAUAUUUGCACAAAUUUUUUGAAUAAGACGAGUGGUCAAACAAUGCAAAUAGAAACUCAAAAUCCCAUAUAUU
rfam:Oryza glaberrima chromosome 8 Oglab08_0010_11, whole genome shotgun sequence.